rnacentral:sRNA from 12 species
GAGAGGAAGCACCAUGCACCGAAGGUGCAUUUCGCAAUGGUGCUGACGACUUGCCUUCGAACGAAUGUGAGGAGGCGGUACUAGUA